ensembl:lncRNA
CUCCAUAUUCCCAGACUCAGCUCAUGCGUGGAAAUCAUUUGUUUUUACUGUACUUAGAUCUCACUAAACGUGCAAUGGUUUACAAAGUUUAGACACAUAUCAGGCUACAGCUUGCAUUAAGUAAUCGGGUAAAAUGACCAGGAACAUAAAUCAUAAUAUUUGUCUAAAUACUUUUAUUUACAUGCACGUAGAUUAAAAACGAAUAUGUAAUAGUAAAUAUGUGAAGAAUAUGUAACUCUAUGAAUUACAAGCGAAAGGGCAUUUUCCAAAGAAAAUGUUGCAAUAAUGUUACAACAAUAUUAUUAUUCCAAGGGAAUGAGCCAUUAACGCCUUUAAAAUAUAUAUAUUUAUAUACUUACUUGGUUUAGACUACACCAAUAAAUUACAUUUGUAUGACGGUAACUUCUUUUCCAUAUUAUUAUUAUUAUUAUUAUUAUUAUUAUUAUUAUUUUGCUCAGCGAAACGUCAAACUAGUGUCCAGAAUAAAAACAAGUAGCUACCGCCCGCUCACGAGACUAUAGCCUAUACUUUCGGUUUUGAUUUUUUUUUUAAUGUCGUCGAACACGCAAUGGUUUACAAAGUUUUGACAUCUGAACAUUAGACCCCCGCAGAACUUUCUCCAUGUUUUCAAAUCUUCUGCGGCUGCUGUUCUGCUUUAUCUGUUACAGUGGAACCCCUUGUGCAGGAACUAAACUUGUACAUGUGACAGGAAAAAAGGGAGACAGCGUCAUCCUGCCGUGUGAAUUUGAGGCCAGACAGAUCUCUCAUUAUCAUUUAAGCAGUUGGUCAAAAACAAUCUAUGUUUGUCAGAAUGAAGAAUGUGAAAGUGAAAAUGGACGAGUAUUUAAACAAGGAAACUGUGACGUCAUCAUCAAGGAACUGAGCUUCAGUGACGCAGGGAAAUAUGUUUUGAGAGUGAAUUACAAUAAUGCUCAGUCAAUGCUGGAGCGACUGACCCUGGAGUACUAUCUUCAUAUUCAGGGUAAAGUCACAGUGUAAUAAUGUUGGUGUUGCAUGCAGGGCCGUAACCAAAGACAUAAAGAUUGACACGUCCCAUCUAAUAUUCAGAUUAUUUAAAUUCAAUACAGACUUUCCAAUGGAUGAUUUUUAAAAUAAUCACAUUUUGUCCCCUAAUAUGUGUUUAUGGUCUGGAUUGAUUCCACUAUAAUAAUAAUGGUGAAGGAUGAACUGUCUGUCUGUUUGUCUUCUUAAAGUGGACAGCUGAGGUUUAUUCAUGAUUUGAACAGCAACUGCAUAACUAAUCUUUGAUAUUCUCACAGGAUCCGGUACAGACUCAAAGGGAAACCACACAGAUGAUGACAAAACUGAUGACACUAAACAAGUUUGUAAGUAAAACAGGAGACAGUAAUAAGGGAUUCAUUUUCUUCUAAAGGUUUUGUGGUCACUGAUCAAAAAACAAUAGGUGUUUAUCAAAACUUUAAACACAAUGAAAAUUAUAUUUCACAAAACCAGGUGUGUGAAGCAACAAAUUACAGAUACUGCUGUUACUGUAAUUGAAGCUGCAGUCCAUAACAUUUUUUGGUUAAAAAUGAUUUAAAAUAGAUUUUGGGGCAAAUACAUAACCAGCCACUGUUCAGUCUUCAGUCUUCUUAUUUUAGCCCGCGAUUCACAACAGUAAGCUUGUAAUAAUGUUUUCUAAUUUGAGUGGUACAGGUAGAUUUUUGUGGGAAAUUGAAACUUGAAGUUGAAAUUGGCUGAAACUGGGUUAUGUUCCAGUUUUAAAUGUGCAUCUGAUUACAGAUAGCCUAUGCAGGAUUACAGAAGAUUUGUAUUUUAAAGAGAAUCAAUUCUUAGGAACAAAAUUUUCAUUUUAGUGUUAAAAGAACGAUUUCUUUAUAUAAAAUUUGAAUGGUAUGACAAUUAGAGAUUAGACUGUACAGAAAUUGAAAUCUACAUGCUAGUAGAUUUUAUUAGAAAAUGUAAAACUACUACAAACAAAUGCCUUUCAUAAAUUUUCCCUUUGUAUAAUUAUAUUUUA